rnacentral:lncRNA from 1 species
AAAACAUGAAAAGACUAGAUUGGCCUAGCCUCUCAGACUACAUUCUUCUCCCGUGCUGUAUGCUUCCUGCCCUCAAACACUGGACUCCAGUUCUUCAGUUUUGGGUCUCCUACUGAUUUUCCUUGCUCCUCACCUUGCAGAUGGCCUAUUGUGGAACCUUGUGAUCAUAGAAUCUGAACAUAACUGCAGUGAGCAUCUUGGAUCUCCAUGUGUUUUGUGCAACUCGAUGCCAGUGUUGACACAGACUUAAUGCUGCCACUGAGGGAUUUGUGCUGCUGCUUUAAUGUAACUCUUCUGCAGUGGCUUUAUGGCCCUGCUGUCCAACUUAAUAACCACAGCUCGUUGUUUGGCGCAUGGGUCUCUCUUUGCCCUAAAUGCA